ACGACGGCGUAGGAUGAAGGACGGCAUGUGUGGAGUGAGAAACAUUACCCGACUAAAGACUUCCUAACAACAUAACAGUAGGAUGCAGAAUUCCCAGGAACAUCACUGUCACAAGCCAGCCCCAGUGAACUGAAGGCAGUCAAGAUACAACAGACGGAAACCUACAAGAUAAGCAAAGUGAAUAGUUAUCAACUGCGGAAAA